rnacentral:rRNA from 1 species
GGGCACUCUAAGGAGACUGCCGGUGACAAACCGGAGGAAGGUGGGAUGACGUCAAGUCAUCAUCGGCCCUUACGGCCUGGGCUACACACGUGCUAACAAUGGUCGGUACAAAGGGUUGCCAAGCCGCGAGGUGGAGCUAAUCCCAUAAAACCGAUCGUAGUCCGGAUCGCAGUCUGCAACUCGACUGCGUGAAGUCGGAAUCGCUAGUAAUCGUGAAAUCAGAAUGUCACGGUGAAUACGUUCCCGGGCCUU